GCCCGGCUGGCGCAAUCGGUAGCGCGUAAGACUUCUAUCUUCAUUGCUCUCAGGAGCAGAGAAGUCCAUCUUAAGGCUGUGGGUUCGAGUCCCACGUUGGGUG